AAAGUUUUAUUUUGGCUUUUAAUUUAUUAAAUUUAUAUUUUACAUGUAAAUUUUUGUGUGAAUUAAUAUAUUCUUAAAGAUAAUUAUAAUUAUUCGCAGUAUUUAAUAUUAAUAAUAAAAGAAAUUUUGAAUUGGUAAUAAAUUUUAGUAUAAGAUAAAUUUGUGCCAGCAUCUGCGGUUAUACAAAUUAUAUAAAUAAAUAAAUUUAGUAUUAGUUAAAUGAUAAAUUUUAAUUUAAAAAUUUUAAUUUUUAGGUUAAAUUUAAAUUAAAAUUUAAUAUUAAAAAUUAAUUUUGAAGCUAAUAAAUUUUUAAAAUAAACUAGGAUUAGAUACCCUAUUAUUAAAAUUAAAAAUAAAAAUGCUAAGGUAGUAAUAGAUAUAUUCUUGAAACUUAAAAAAUUUGGCGGUAUUUUAGUCUAUUUAGAGGAACCUGUUCUGUAAAUGAUAAUCCACGAUAUAUUUUACUAAAAUUUAUUUAAUUUGUAUACCGUCGUUAUCAGAAUAUUUUAUAAGAAAAUAAUAUUCAAUUAAUUUUAUAAUAUUAUAUUUCAGAUCAAGGUGCAGUUUAUAUUUUAGAAGAAAUGGGUUACAAUAAAUUUAUUUAAAUGGAUUAAUAAUUGAAAUAUUAUUAUAAAAGUGGAUUUAAUAGUAAUUAAAAAAAUAUUUUUUUAUUGAUUAUAGCUCUAAAAUAUGUACAUAUCGCCCGUCGCUCUUUCUUUUAAAGAAAGAUAAGUCGUAACAUAGUAGAUGUACUGGAAAGUGUAUCUAGAAAU
rnacentral:ncRNA from 1 species